UACAGAGGUGGCAAGCGUUGUCCGGAUUUACUGGGCGUAAAGAGCGCGCAGGCGGCUGGUCAAGUCCGAUGUGAAAUCUCCCGGCUUAACUGGGAAACUGCAUCGGAAACUGAUCGGCUUGAAGGUGGGAGAGGGUAGUGGAAUUCCCGGUGUAGUGGUGAAAUGCGUAGAUAUCGGGAGGAACACCAGUGGCGAAGGCGACUACCUGGCCCAUUCUUGACGCUGAGGCGCGAAAGCUAGGGGAGCGAACGGG
rnacentral:rRNA from 1 species